AUGGCGAUGCCCACUGCUCUCAAGGCCUUAACUUUCUUGUUUGUGCUUGCAGUUCUUGCACCAGAUCAGUCAGAAGGGCAGCAUCAUCAGCCUUAUUGUCCUUCUUUCUCGUGCGGCCCUUUCAGAAACAUAUCGUCUCCAUUUCGUCAGGCAAGUGAUCCACCUGGGUGCGGCUAUCCAUCUUAUGAGCUGGUGUGCAGUGAUACGAAGGCUACAAUUCACAUCGACAACGUGACAUACCAUGUCUCUGCCAUCAACGACAGUGGUUCUUACUUCUGGGUAGUCGAUGCCGACAUGGAUUUGUACAGCAGCUGCCCUCUACCUCGGUGGAAUCGGCCUCCCUAUUCCGUCGAGGUAGUCAAUGACGACAUGGAAGUCGAAUUGGACCCCCUUUCACGUAGACAGACUUGCUUUCUUAAAUGCUCUCGGGAAGUAAAGGACAAUGGUAUGUACAUGCCUGUUGCUUGCCUUAGCAGCAAUGAUACUUAUGUUUACGUGUUAACUGGUUAUGGAUCUUGUUCUAUGGAGUAUCUCGAGCCUUCUUGUGGGUACUUGGCCAUGACUCCUUGGCCUUGUCACAGUCCAUUUUGUUGGGACUGCGAGCCGCUAGAAAAUGCAAGUUAUGUAGAUGUUGUGAAAUCCAUGAGGAUCGGAUUUGCCGUUCAAUUCCCUUUCAGAUAUCCUUUUCAGGUGAGGAGCAUAAACAUCAAAGAAUGCCUAAUACUCCAGUUUCGUGAAUUCUCGCAAGUGUGUAGUGAAGGCGUCAUGAAUUGUGUUCUGGCAAUUUUGUUCGAUGGACCCUUCUGGUACUGCUUAGUGUAUGCAACUGGAUUUGGUGAUUCUACCUCAUCAAGCAUACAAUCCGUCUUCUCGUUUGUCAACUGCAUUGCUGUGCUAUGCAGGUUUGUGUUGGCACCACUGGCUGUGUUGAUCUUCCUCGCCCACAUGUAUUGGAAAACGAGGAUCACGAUCGAUGCUGUCGAGAAGUUCCUCCGAAUGCAACAAAUGCUAGGUCCAAUGAGGUAUGCCUACACCGACAUCACAGCAAUUACAAGUCAUUUCAGAGAUAAGCUGGGCCAGGGAGGCUACGGCUCUGUGUUCAAGGGUGUGUUAUUGCCAGGCAAUGUUCAUGUCGCUGUCAAGAUGCUAGAGGGCAAUCCUAACUGCAAUGGAGAAGAUUUCAUCAAUGAAGUCUCCACCAUCGGUAGGAUCCAUCAUGUUAAUGUGGUGCGCCUCAUGGGAUUCUGCUCAGAGGAAAUGAGGAGAGCACUAGUUUAUGAGUACAUGCCUCAAGGUUCUCUGGACAAGUACAUCUUCUCAGCCAAGAAGAGUUUCUCCUGGGACAAGCUAGCCGAUAUAGCUUUGGGCAUUGCAAGGGGGAUCGACUACCUUCAUCAGGGUUGUGACAUGCAGAUUCUGCACUUUGACAUCAAGCCACACAACAUCCUUCUUGACAACAAUUUUGUCCCCAAAGUUGCUGAUUUUGGUCUCGCCAAACUAUACCCAAGGGAUAACAGCUUUGUGCCAUCGAGAGCCCUAAGGGGAACAAUUGGGUACAUAGCUCCUGAGAUGAUAUCUCGGAGCUUCGGCGUCAUAUCGAGCAAGUCGGAUGUUUAUAGCUUUGGGAUGCUGCUGCUAGAGAUGGCCGGAGGAAGAAGGAAUGCUGAUCCAAAUGCGGCGAACUCGAGCCAAGCAUACUACCCGUCAUGGGUGUAUGACAGACUAACUGCACAAGAGGCGGAUGCGAUAUCUCUGGUUGCUGACAUGCAUGAGUUGGAGAGAAAGCUGUGCAUCGUUGGACUAUGGUGCAUCCAGAUGAAGUCGCAUGAUAGGCCGACGAUGAGCGAGGUCAUAGAGAUGCUGGAAGGUGGCUUCGAUGGUCUGCAGAUGCCUUCCAGGCCAUUCUUCUGUGAUGAUGAGCACACUGCUGUCCCGGAUUCUUACCCUUUGUUAUCCGAGCUGACCGAGAUCUCGGAGGAGGAUGAGAUCUCAGAUUCUUAUGUUUCUCAGGUAUUGUGA
rnacentral:rRNA from 1 species